rnacentral:rRNA from 1 species
UACGUAGGGGGCAAGCGUUGUCCGGAUUUAUUGGGCGUAAAGAGCGUGUAGGCGGCUUUACAGGUCCGUUGUGAAAACUCGAGGCUCAACCUCGAGACGCCGGUGGAAACCGUAAAGCUAGAGUCCGGAAGAGGAGAGUGGAAUUCCUGGUGUAGCGGUGAAAUGCGCAGAUAUCAGGAGGAACACCGAUGGCGAAGGCAGAUCUCUGGGCCGUAACUGACGCUGAGGAGCGAAAGCAUGGGGGAGCGAACAGG